CAGGGAAUCUUCCACAAUGGGCGCAAGCCUGAUGGAGCAACGCCGCGUGAGUGAAGAAGGUCUUCGGAUCGUAAAACUCUGUUGUUAGAGAAGAACACGAGUGAGAGUAACUGUUCAUUCGAUGACGGUAUCUAACCAGCAAGUCACGGCUAACUACGUGCCAG
rnacentral:rRNA from 1 species